rnacentral:rRNA from 1 species
CAGGGAACUGAAACAUCUUAGUACCUGCAGGAAAAGAAAAUAAUAAUGAUUCCCCUAGUAGUGGCGAGCGAACGGGGAUUAGCCCAAACCAAUGUUGUUACGGCAAUAUUGGGGUUGUAGGACCACGAUGUCGCAAGAAAUUUAGUGAGAAGAAUUCUUUGGAAAAUGAAACCAUAGACGGUGAUAGUCCGGUAUUCGAAGCUAAACGAAGCGUAGUGGUAUCCUGAGUAGCGCGGGACACGAGGAAUCUUGCGUGAAUCUGCCGGGACCAUCCGGUAAGGCUAAAUACUCCCGAGAGACCGAUAGCGAACCAGUA